UAUUAAUACUUCAUAGUUCAAUUUUAAAAUAUAGAUAGUGAAAUGAAUGCUCCUAUCUUAUUCUUAUUUUCAGGACAAUGUUAUCAAUACAGGAUUUCUUGUGGUUCUGUAAAUACUUUAAAAGAAUUUCUAACAUUACAAGUAAAGAAUGACAUAUAUGGAGAGUUGUAUUGAUUUAUAUUUUCUCUAUUUAUCCCUAAAAAUUUCUGUAUUAUCUCAUGAUCCGUAUGUUGCGUCUCACAAGCCUGCUCAUGAUAAUCUCAGACUCAGGCAUGGAAAAUAUAUGGUUCUCCCAAAUGCUGAGAAGUUCUCACUGAAGAUAGAGUCACCACACCUACCUGUUGGUAUUCAUUAUUGUUUUCUUGUAUGUAAAACUCCAUUAUAUAUUUAUAUUUUAUGUGUUAGCAGCAUGUGUGCUGGCCAUAAUUUAAAUUCCUUACAUUAUGUGUAUGUCUUAUUAUUUCUUUAGAUGUCACAGGAUAUUAUGUCAUGUAGAUGUAGUUUAUGUUUUUUUAAGCAUACAAACACCACCUGUUCAUUUUCUCCAUUAAUUGCACUGAGGACAAUAUCCAGUGUAUGUUCUGCAAGGUGGCAUACACUUGAAUCUGUUCCUUUUUAUCUUUUGGGAAAGUACUGAAUGUUUAGGACUCUAGGUAUUUUCUUCCAUUUAAAUUCAUGAAAUUACAGUUCUACAGUUGAUCUAAAUUUCUGAGUCCUUUUUUUUCUUCUCUGAUUAAUCUUCCCUUUUUUAAUAAUUAGCAUGAUACUUAUGUUUUUGAGUUCAAUACUAAAAGAGUGAAUAUGUUUGAUUAAUUUCAUUGCUGUAAGUUAUGAAGCAUGAAAUAGUCAUGCCAUACAUGGAACACAUUUUUCCACCAUGUGUACUCACAUUUAUGGAAGGCCAGUAUUUCUUCUGUAAGUCUUGGAUUUUUUUACUUUUUUGCAUUAUUUAAAAAGUGUUAUAUAGUAAGUUCACAGAGAGUUGUAAAAGAAAAAUGACCUCUUAUAUUCAUAAAGUUUCCAGCUGCUGAGGGUCAAAUCCUCCUCAGCAUAUUUUUACAAAUGUAGUUUUGUUGCAAUGCAUCCCUAUUCACAAACUCACAGUGUCUUAGUGAGACGUUUCAUUACUGUGACCAGUGAUUUAAAGGAACACUUCUCUUAGCUUGUGACCGCAGAGGGUACCAUGAACAGCUGGCUUGCUGCAUUGUUUCUGGAUUGAAGAUGUGUCCCAUGACUGCAGGACAUUAUAAAGCACAGGAGUUCACUACAUGACAACCAGGAAGCAGAGGAGAGUUACCAGAAUGGAUCAGAUCCAAGAUGUACCCUCCACAGUGUCUGUCUCUGCUGCUCAGUGACUCUGCAACUCAAAUAAUAAAGCCAUGGUUGCUCUCUGCAUCCUGAGAAGCACACACUGGAGGAGACCACUUCCCUAAGCAGGCUGUCCUCAACAGAGAGAUGGGAAGGUCAAUUGAAAAACAUGCGUCCUCAGAGGGAUCCUUUCUGGGCAGAUUAACAGUGACUUCCAGGGAAUCAUGCCACUGACUCUGAAGCCAUGGCUUUUACAUUAAGGUCUGCCAUCCCUGCCACAGUCCAUGAAUCCUUUAUCAUCUACAAGGAAGAUGAUUCACUUUGAAAAGCUUUUUCUGAUAGAGACCAGUGUGCUGUAUCAUCUUUGGAGAAAUGCCUAUUUAUUUAGAUAUUUAGAUGUGUUAUUCAGUUCAGAUGCUUAAGCUGCCAUACACAUUGAGGUGGGAGAGAGAAAUGAGUCAGCAGCCCGGAUGGAGAUCUCCAAGAGUCUGUAUGUGCUAAACACCAGGAUCUCACACUCUUCAAGAAGGCCACAAUUUUAGGAUCUUAAGGGACCAACAGAUGUAUGUGACCACCUGCUGCAGACGAAGGAAUAGUGCAAAUUAUUGCUUAAUCUUCAGGACAAUUUUGGAUACAGCAUGCAGAUUUUUCCUUCAGAGCAGGCCUUGAAAAUAAAGAGCCCACAUCACCCUCCAUGCUUUAUUUCCCAUCAAGUGCAUGAAGAAAAUUUUCUGACUAUGGGAUAUUGGUAAGUGAACAGAUCUAUGCAUACAUCAGUAUGCCAUUAGGACUCAAUGUAUCUGUAGCUUAAUGAAAGAAAUAUGUUUUACACAAAUAUGUGACCAUUCUAGUCUCAGAUUCUUGGACAUUUUAUCGGUGUGGGAUAUUUCUUCAAUCCAGUAGUGUUAAUCAUAAUUUAAAAGUAGUUGGUUUAUACUGCCAUUAUAGUUAAGCCACUCUGUCAGCAAGAUGUCUGAAGACUGCCCACUAUAUUUUAAUUUAGGAAGUGUAGGUAAAGAUGGUGAGAAUUUUUGUUCAUUCUAUACAUUUGAAGAUAGAGGUUUCUGUCCCUGCCAGGUUCCACAGCAGCAUUGAACCAAAUAAACACAGAAAGACUUAUAUUAAGUAGAAGACAUGUGGCCUCAGGCUCAAGCUUCUUGUUUCCUAGCUCUGCCUUAAUUGUUAACCCAUUUCUAUUAUUCUGUGCAUUACCACAGCCUGUGGCUUACCCAUAAUAUGUCAUGUUAACUCCUUCAGCUGCAUGGUGUCUGUUAGAAACCUCUCUCUGCCUUCCUCUCUCUCCAGGAUCUCCUGAUAUCUUACCCCUGACUAUGCUUCAUGCCUGGCUGCUGGCCAAUCAUUUUUAAUUGUAUAAAAGAAUGUAUAAAAGAAACAUAUGUACCGAAGGACAUCCCCUAUCAAACUUUCAUCAUAUGUAGUUAAUUGGACAGAAUUUUCUGAGUGCCAGAUGUAUUUAUGUUCUAUGGUAAAACAAUUAAGGAGGAUAUUCAAAGAUAAGUUCUUCUAAUUGCAUUGGCUAGUAUAACCAUGUUUGGAUAUAUUCUGAGACUAUAGGAAACCCAAUAGCCAACAAGUAAAUCAAAUAACUCUGGAAACUGAGAGAUAUAUUUCUUAUGCUUCUUCCUAUUAUAAGAAUUACAGUUGUUACAAUAUCUCUCCAGUUAUAUCUCAGUGCAUUUCAAUUUCUUGCACUGAUUCUGUGUUUAUCCAUUUACAUAUACUUGUGUUUGCAUCCCUUUCCUACCUGUGAUAUAAGAGCAUGUUAUGUAUUAUUUUAUACUUCUUUGUGUUUCCAUCGGAAAUACAAUCUGCUCUUCUAAAUGUCAAAAUUUAUAACUUUUAUUAUAAAAUUAUUUUAUCCUGUAUAUACAAAUGCACACUUACUUAACACAUAAUGUGUACUUAAUCUUCUGAUUAUGAAUAACUAUAUUUAAUAUUGACACUUAGAAAGGAAGGUCUAUUGUUGUUUUGUUUUUUGUUUAUUUGUUUCUUUAUUUACAUUAGACAAGAGUUCUUUUUUCCUAGUACUCAUAGUUUGUCAGAAGUUUUUCAACUAAGUGUCUGGAGUCAAGUGAGGUUUCUCUCUGUGUUGGAAUGACAAUAUUUGGUGUGAUUGUAGUAAACUUUUUGUCAUUUUGUUGGUUUUGUUUGAAUUGUUUUUGGGUAUUGAAGUCAUCAAAUUUCUGAGCUUUGAAAUUCCCUACUCCUCUUUCCGGAAACUCUGGUCACAACAGAUAUCGUUUUCCACUGAACCAAAAACAUUUCUGUCCAUUGCAUGCAAUAUUUUCUGUGUCUGAGAAUAGUAGAAAGUUGUGUUAUUGAUCAGUUGUGGUUGGACACAGCAUUGUAAGUCCUUAGCCAUUUGAGCAGUUGUGGAAAUGUGUAACAUGAGGCCACUGGCAGUGAGACCAGGAUUUAUCCCUAGUGCUUGAAGUAGCUUUAUAAAGCUCAUUCUCUGGGAAGGAUACCUUGCUCAGCUGACAUAUAGGAGGGAGGGUGUUGGUGCUGCCACAAAAAGAUGUGCCAGACUUUGUUUUCACCAUUGGAAGGCUUAUUCUCUCUGAGGCAUGGAUGGGGUGGUUUUUGGGAAGGUGUGGAUAGCAGGAGGAGAGGAGAGAUUGGGAACAGGGAUUGGUCUGUAAAAUGAGAAAGAUUGCUUUAAAUUUUAAAAUGUCUUUCAUCAAAUUUUUAGGCAAGAGAAUGUAGUGAAUAUUUUCAAAAUUUCAAUAUUCACAUAUUAGUACUGAACAGAAUAUUUCAAAAUCAUAAUUGGCACUGAGAAUACAAAAUGAAUGUCAAAUAUAUUCAGAUGUGUUAGUAACAAACCACACAUAAAACCAUACAAAAAUUGUGAAAUUUUUCAUAAUAUACACAUAGUAGGAAUUUCUUUCCUAAAUACAAUACUUCAGAUCAGUGCAUAAAUAUCUUCACAAAGUUAGAUAUGGCAUACAAACUAGAGGUAUUCAGAAGAGGACUUGAAGCUAACAAUUCCAUGAACUAUUAAAGGUCCUUCUUGUACAUAUAGGAGAAAACUAAAUUUCAACCAUAUAUGUCACAGUAGAGUUUUUUUCCUAUUAACAGCUGGGGUCAGACACAGCGUAUAUUACAUUUAUUCUUAUCAUCCACUUUCAGUUUUACCGCGUUUGCUACAACACACUUUUGAGUGGGAGAGAAGAAGAAUCAGCACCUCAGAUGUAGAAAUUAAGUAUUAAUAUAGGAUUUGCCUUCAGUGCUGGAAUUAAGAUAACUCUCCUAUUCCUUGCCUGAUUUGAAUGCACACAGUCCAUCAGAGGCCAGGAGUGCUAAUAAAAGCAUCAGUAGCACAGCUUCUUACAUGUCAGUCUCAGGCUGUUCUCUAGGACUCACUUGAUCCUGGAUAUGACCCAAGCCUGAUUGUACUGACUCAGACAAUGCAGACAGCUCCUGACAUCUAACAGAGGCAGAACCUGUGGGAUUCAGAAAAGGCAGGGAUUGUUUGCUUCUCGGCCCAGAAGGGCUUAACAAGAAAAUUUGCACUUACGAUGUAAUCACUGCUUUUCCGGCACUAAUGUACAUAUAUUAGACAGUGCUAAAAUUGAAGAGUGAAUCUGACAGGACAUAUCAGAAAACGCAAGCAACAAUCAGCCCUUAGCACCCACGAUUCACAUCAUGAAUGUCCAGGCAUUAUCCUGGGCUUUCAUAAAUUUAGUCCGGAUGUAGCCCCAAGCAACCUAAUAUAUAAUUGCCCUCCUAUCUGCCAGCAGUUUCUAUUUUUUAUUUGGAUAACUGGAGUUUUGUCCAGUAGAAAUUAUGUCUUCUCGUGUUGUCUGCUUUCAGUUUCCCUGCUUCUAGGUCAGCACUCGUUUAGGUGGGAGGGAGAAAUGAAUCAGCAGUUCUGAUGGAGAUUUCCAAGAGAACAUCAGGAUUUGUCCCCAGUGCUGGCAUUGAGAUCUCUCUUCUUAUUGGCUCCUUUCCCAAUUGAAAUGCACACAGCCCUUCAAUCAGAAGCAAGGGGCCCUAAUAAAAGUGUCCACAGGGAAGCUUCUUACCAGUAGGGCUCGGGCUCUACUCCAGGACUCAGGAGUUCCUGGGUAUAACCCGAGCCCUACUGGACACUGAACCAGACAAGGCAGACUGCUGACAUCUACAGGAGUCAGAGCCCAUGAGAAUCAGCAAAGACAAGCAUUGAUUGAUACACGGCACAGGGGGCUUUCAGUGAAUAUUUCCACUUAUAAGCAUUUCAUUACAGGCAAUCAUAAUAUAUUUUGGAGAAAAGCUAACAUGAAUUAUUGGGGAAUCUGACAGGGUAUAUUAGACAAUGUAAGCAACAAUCGGGUCUUGGCAGCUCUGAUUCACAAUCAUGCAGCCCCAGGUAGAUUCAGGGGAUUUCAUACUGAUAGCCAGGAUGUAGCCCCAAACAGUCUGAUAUAUGACCAACCCCUAAUUGUCACCAGUUCCUGUGUUUUCUUUUUUAUUAUUGGAGUUUUGUGCAGUUAAAAUUAUAUUUUUCAUGUACACGUUCAAUUUGGCUGCUUCUCUGGCAGCACACGUUUUAGUGGGCAGGAGAAAUGAAUCAGCAGUUCUGAUGGAGAUGUCUAAGAGAACAUCAGGAUUUGCUCCCAGUGUUGGCAUUGAGAUCUCUCUUCUACACGCACAAUUUAAAUGCACACAGGCCUUCAUUCAGAGGCAUGACAUGCUAAUAAAUGUGUCUGCAGUGAGGCUACUUAUCAGUUGGGUUCAGGCUCUACUCCAGGACUCAUUUGAUCAGUGGUAUAACCCGAGCUGACUAUACACUGACUCAGACAUGGCAGACAACUCCGGCCAUUUACGGGAGUCAGGGCCCAUGGGAAUGAGCAUAAGUAGGGAUUAUACUUCUCAGUCAUCUGUUCCUGUCUCCUAUGCAGGAAGUAGAAUCAUGCUCUGGAAGCUAUUGUUUCUUUUUUAAAAUCUGACAUCCCUGUCUAAGUCUUGAAGUGUUGUAUCAUGUGCAAGGUAGAUAGUUCACUUCUGGCUAUAAUUCAUAUCAAUUUUGUAAAUUUGAUCAUUGAGGCUUUAUGAAGACAAGAACCAUCACAAAGCAGUACCUCAAGCCUGCAUCAUAAAAGAUCCCACAUCAACCUGUUUGUUUUAUUUCCAAUCUAAUGCAUGAAGAAACACUUCUGACUAUGGAAAAUGGAUACAUGAACAGAUCAAUGGAUAAAUCAUUUCAUCAUCAGGACUCAGUUUAUGAAUAACUGAAUGAAAGGAUUAGGUUUUGCACAAGUCUGUGACCAUUCUAGUCUUGGGUUCUUGGGCAUUUUAACAGUAUGGGAUAGUUCUUCAAUUCAAUGAUGUUAAUCAUAUUUCGUAAAAGUAGCUUAUAUUCUCAUGAUCUUUUAGCCACUAUGUCAGCAUUGAAGAGUAUCAAGUAUAUUUGGCUUUUGGGCGUGUAGAAUAAGAGAGUGAGAUGUUUGUUCCUCCAGAACUUUUGAAGUUAAUGUUUUGUGUCCUGCCAGAUUCCAUAGCUUCUCUGACCCAAAGAAACACACAAAGACUUAUAUUAUGUAUAAAAUGUUUGACCAAUGGCUCAGAUGGCUUGGUUUGCCUUAAUUGUUAUCAAAUUUCUUUUCAUCUCUGCAUUGCCACAAGGCUGUGGCUUACACUUAAUCUGGUAUGUUACUCCUUUGGCAACAUGGUGUUUGUUAUGGGCAAACUCUCUGUAUUUCUCUCUCACCAGCCUUCUUCUGGACUGGUGUCCCUGCCUAUGCUUCCUUCCUGGCUGCUGGACAUUCAGUGUGUUUUUUUUUCCUCCACCAAUAUAAAGAAACACAUAUGCACAAGGGCACCCCCUUUCAAACUUCUAUCCUAUGUACUUAGUUGGAGAGAAGUUUCUCAAUAAAGCAGGAUCUUCAAAUACAUUUCCCCAUAUUUAUGUUGCCAGGUAUAACCAUGAUUUUAAUAUUGUCGAUGAGCCUCUAAAGGGAGACUAUAGGAAAACAUGUAGUCCACAAGUAAAUCAAAUAUCUCUGUCAACUGAGAGUGAUACUCCUUAUGUAUCUUCAUGUUAUAAGAAGUCUCUAAGAAUGUAAUAGUGUAGGAAAUGGUAAAACAGGACCUUAUUUUCAAAAAGCAGUAAAAGGGAACAGGGCAUUUCAAGAUUCAGAGAUUUGAAACAAUUAAACAAAGCACUAAGAGCAAUAUAAGAACUAUAUCAGAUAUAUAUAUAUAUAUAUAUAUAUAUAUAUAUAUAUAUAUAUGAAACAUUUAGGCCUCAUAGCAUGAUGAAUUGUUAGGAAUAAAAGAGUAAGUUUAGGCUGAGAUGAUAUAGAUCUCAUAUCUAUAUUGACAUAUCUAUAAGUGACAGUGAUAGGAAAUUAAAGAGUUGAGUGGGAGUGGAAUGUGUUGUUAACACUGGUGUGAAAACAUUACUCAGAGUUCUCUAGUCCAUAAUAGCUUUGUAAAACGAAAUCACAUAAUAAAGUAUUUUAAAAUGGCUCACAAUAUACUCAGUUAGUCUUCUAACAACUUGUGCUUUAAAGACUCUGCUGUGAAAUGCUAAUUUUGCAUGAUGCUGUCUAUAUUGAAACCUUACUUUCCCAGCAUAGAAUUGCAAGCCACUCUCUGAUAUCUGAAUGAGGUUAGUAUUUGAAUUUAACCUGACCCUCAGUCUCAAUAACUGAAAGAUUUACAUAGAUGCUAAAUACCUAAAAAUCAUCAUAGUGAGAAAUUCCUAUUUUCUGCAAUUCCAUCAAAAGCAAUACAAAUCUAGUAAGAAACAGUAUUGUCAGAGAGAAGCAAUUGAAAAAAAAAGUUCUUAGCAUGUCCCAUAGUCUUUUACUUGUAAAAGAAAUUUAAAUAAAAAAAUUGAAAAGAGAAGGUUUGGUAAUCUAUCCAGGGUUAUUUUUAUGCAUUCCCAAUGGUUAAGUUUUAUUUGGAAGUUUAAUAUGUUUGUUCAUGUACUGUAAGGGAGAAAUUCAUAUACUAGCACACUUUCAUUUGUCAUUUCCUUGUCAUAUCAUAAUUCUUCCAUUAUUGGUUGAGUUGCAUUGUUUUAAUAUUUUACAUAACU
ensembl:lncRNA